GGCGAAGUAGCUCAGUUGGCAGAGCAGAGGACUCAUAAGCCUUGUGUCGUGGGUUCAAGUCCCACCUUCGCCA
rnacentral:tRNA from 1 species